rnacentral:lncRNA from 1 species
GACUACUGCAACACACACCUCAUCCAUGACUCUCCAUUUAUGAGAAAGACAUAUUGCAGUGGUAGGAAACAGAGACAGAAUGUCAAAGAUUACUAUUAGAAAUGGAUGGAAGAACAGGCUCAGAGCCUGACUGACAAAAUAAGGGUUGCACUUCAACAAGGAAAGAUACUUCCUACUUCAAUCUCUGUUCCCCGCCGGCAGGGACAAUGAUACUACCUCCCUCCAGUCUUCUGGGUCCUCCUCAUCCUGGUAUGAUGCCAGCACCCCACACGGGGCCCUCCUCCUGGGAUGAUGCCAGUGGGACCUGCUCCUGGAAUGAGGCUGCCCAUGGGAGGCCACAUGCCAAUGAUGCCUGGGCCCCCAAUGAUGAGACCUCUUGCUUGUCCCAUGAUGGUGCCCACUUGGCCCAGAAUGACUCGAGCAGACA